rnacentral:rRNA from 1 species
AUUGAACGCUGGCGGCAGGCCUAACACAUGCAAGUCGAGCGGAUGAAGGGAGCUUGCUCCUGGAUUCAGCGGCGGACGGGUGAGUAAUGCCUAGGAAUCUGCCUGGUAGUGGGGGAUAACGUCCGGAAACGGGCGCUAAUACCGCAUACGUCCUGAGGGAGAAAGUGGGGGAGCUUUGGACCUCACGCUAUCAGAUGAGCCUAGGUCGGAUUAGCUAGUUGGUGGGGUAAAGGCCUACCAAGGCGACGAUCCGUAACUGGUCUGAGAGGAUGAUCAGUCACACUGGAACUGAGACACGGUCCAGACUCCUACGGGAGGCAGCAGUGGGGAAUAUUGGACAAUGGGCGAAAGCCUGAUCCAGCCAUGCCGCGUGUGUGAAGAAGGUCUUCGGAUUGUAAAGCACUUUAAGUUGGGAGGAAGGGCAGUAAGUUAAUACCUUGCUGUUUUGACGUUACCAACAGAAUAAGCACCGGCUAACUUCGUG